AACGACUGCUAAUUCCGGAUGAGCCGAAAGGUAAAAAGAAAUUCGCCUGGAGAUGAGCUUGCGGCUGAUUAGCUAGUUGGUAGGGUAAGAGCCUACCAAGGCGACGAUCAGUAGCUGGUCUGAGAGGAUGAGCAGCCACACUGGGACUGAGACACGGCCCAGACUCCUACGGGAGGCAGCAGUGGGGAAUUUUCCGCAAUGGGCGAAAGCCUGACGGAGCAAGACCGCGUGGGGGAGGAAGGUUCUUGGAUUGUCAACCCCUUUUCUCAAGGAAGAAGUUCUGACGGUACUUGAGGAAUCAGCAUCGGCUAACUCCGUGCCAGCAGCCGCGGUAAUACGGAGGAUGCAAGCGUUAUCCGGAAUGAUUGGGCGUAAAGAGUCCGUAGGUGGCGAGUCAAGUCGAUUGUCAAAGAGCGAGGCUUAACUUCGUGAAGGCAGUGGAAACUGACUAGCUAGAGAGCAGUAGGGGCAGAAGGAAUUCCUGGUGUAGCGGUGAAAUGCGUAGAGAUCAGGAAGAACACC
rnacentral:rRNA from 1 species